CGCCGGACCACCUGCGGGCCAGUGCGCGGCCGGGAGCCACUCCUCCUCAGGCUGUUCUGUUGCUCCGUAGCUGCGGGGCUCGGCUCUGGAGCGGAUGAUGGAUUUUGAGAAUCUCUUUUCCAAACCCCCUAACCCAGCUCUCGGCAAGAAACCCGCCACGGAUUGUGACGAAAGAGUCGAUGGUGAAAUAGAUGAUACAGAAGUUGAAGAAACACAAGAAGAGAGAGUAAAAUGGGAAGUAAAACUGGAGUGUGAGCAAAUUCCCAAAAAAUUUAGGCACUUUGGAAGCUCUACAACAGCACCAAAGAAUUUGCAACAUAGAAAAUCAAGAAGUAAGGACUAUGAUGUAUACAGUGAUAAUGAUAUCUGCGGUCAGGAAUCAGAAGAUAAUUUUGCUAAAGAGCUUCAGCAGUAUAUACAAGCUAAAGAGAAGGCCAAUGUUACUCAGUCCCUAUCAUUUCCUGAGGAAUCUGCAAAGAAAGAGGGAGCAAAGGAUACCCAGAAAGCUAUUAAACAAAAAAAUAAAAAUAAGAACCUGAAAGCUAUUCACAAGAAUGGUAAACAGAAGAAAAUGAAGCGAAAAUGGCCUGACACUGCAGAGAAAGGAUCCAGCGCUUCCCUGAGGAGCAAUGGCUCACAGGAACAGGAUGGUAAACCUAAAGAGAAGCAGCAGCCUGUGAGAAUGAGUCAAGGGUUCAUCAACCAACACACGGUGCAACGCCAGGGAAAACAAAUUUGUAAAUAUUUUCUUGAAAGGAAAUGUAUUAAGGGAGACCAGUGUAAAUUUGACCAUGAUGCAGAAAUAGAGAAGAAAAAGGAAAUGUGUAAAUUUUAUGUACAAGGAUAUUGUACCAGAGGCGAAAACUGUCUGUAUUUGCAUAAUGAAUAUCCUUGCAAGUUUUACCAUACAGGAGCAAAGUGUUAUCAGGGAGAAUAUUGCAAGUUUUCACAUGCUCCAUUGACUGCUGAAACACAAGAACUGUUGGCUAAAGUUUUGGAUCCUGAAAAGAAGUCAUCAUGAAAAUAAAAUACAUAAAAAAGGGUGGCACCCGAAACACAUAGAGGUGUUGAAUUGGAGCUGUAGCUGCUGGCCUACACCACAGCCACAGCAACGCCAGAUCCUUAACCCCCUGAGCAAGGCCAGGGAUCAAACUCGCAACCUCACGGUUUCUAGUUGGAUUUGUUUCCACUGUGCCACGACGGGAACUCCUAAUGCCAAUCUUUUCUUAAGUAGUUAAAACAGUUUUUGCUCCCACUAGCUGUGUGAAAGAAUUUCUGUUGCCCCAUACCCACUGAUGCUUUGCAUUUUCAAGACUUUAAUUUUUUUGUAGUUCCUGUUGUGGUGCAGUGGAAAUGAAUCCGACUAGUAACCAUGAGGUUGAGGGGUUGAUUCCUGGCCUUGCUCAGUGGGUUAAGGAUCUGGUGUUGCCGUGAACUGUGUGGUAUAGGUCGCAGACAUGGCUCAGAUCCCGCGUUGCUGUGGCUAUGGCCAGCAGCUAUAGCUCCAGUUCAACUCCUACCCUGGGAACCUCCAUAUGCUGCUGGUGCAGCCCUAAAAAAAAAAGGCAAAAAAAAAAAAAAAAAAAGAAAAGAAAAAGACUUUAUUUUUUUUUUUAACCAACUUAGUGGGUGUAAAGGUGGUGUCACAUAGCUUUAGUUCAGCAUCUUUUCUUAGGCUGAAAUGCUGUUAAUGUCUUUUGCCUAUGUUUAUAUUGGGCUGAUUGUCCUUUAUAAAUUGAUAUAUAUAAAUGGUUUGGAAGUAUGUGUGGCAGGUCUUCACGCAUUUUGCAUCUUUGCACUUUUUAAAAAAUGUUGCAGUGAACAGAAUUACUCAUUUUGGCAAUCUCUUUCAUUAGUAGAUUUUGCAUUUUGUGUCCUGUUUAAGAAAUCCUUCCUUAUCAUGAGGCUGUAAAGUACUGUAAUUUUUUUUAGCUUUCAGAGUUUUGAUUUCUAUGUUUAUAUUUUCAUCCCUUGGAAAUUUUAUCAGUUAACAGUUGCCACAAUAACAGUGUUGAAAAGCAACCACAAGACUCUGAGUAGCAUAUAAGAGUAAAUGCUCCUUUUUCUCUGCAUCUGCAGAUUGGUUGGGAGUGGGCUGAUGUAGGUUUGCUUUGGCUGGGUUGGAUCUGCUUCAUAAAGCAGAACCACUGGGAUGGUUCUGCCCCACAUUUGUCUCCCUCUCCUGGGACGGGGGCUAGCUGGGGCAUAUUUUUCUCAUGGCAUUGGCAGAAGGACAAGAGGGCAAAACCUUAUUGGCAUCACUCACAUUUACUUGCAACCCAUUGAGCAAAGUAAGUGCUGUAGCAAAGCCCAAAGUCAGACAGUAGGGAAGCACUCUCUACUUUGUACUUUCCAUGUGGGAGGAAGGGCUAAAUUAUAUAAAUUUUUUUCUGAAGUGACCUUAAAGGAAUUAUGCUAAGCAUAAUAAGUCAGACAAAGACAGAUACUGUUGUGAUUUCACUUACAUGAAGAACCUGAAGAAACAAAUGGAUAAGCAAAACAAUAUCAGAAUCAUGGAUACAGAGAACAGAGUGGAAGGGAGUCCGGAAGUGGGCGAAGCAGCUUUGUAUGGAUGAAGAGUGCUUGUGUCUAUGCCUGUUCAAGACUAUUCAAAGCUUGAUUCGGAGUGGUUUACAAGAGUCUUCAUUUAAAGUGCCCUCUUGUGUCAUUGUAAUGAUGUGCAGCUCUUUAAUGGAUGGCGCCGAGGGACAGAAUGUAGUGUAUGGCUGAAGGCUUGGUCUUCACCAGGAUGGCUCUAGCCAAUGAAACAGGGGACGAGCAAUGUGACAGAGAUGCUGGCUGGUGCAUAAAUGUUUUGGUAGUAAACUGCAGAAGUCUCUUCCGAUUGCGUUUUGUCAAUAAAAUAAGGUUAGGUUGAGAAUGGAUGAAGCAACAAAGGAGAUUUGAAGAGAGAAAACCACUGGCUUUCUCUAGGAAGAUAUUGGGAUAAUAGACAAUGAAUAUACAGCUAGAUCUUUUCAUUUCAUUAAAUUCACAGCAUAUUUUUAGUGGUUGCUCACAGUUCUGAUUUAUGGCUUACAUUAUGUUCUACAAUUUUUUUAAAACUAAUUUUCUGUUGUUGGACAAUAAAGUUGUUUCAGAUUUUUACUAUUAUAAAUAAAAUGGAACAGUGUCUCUUGUUAUACCA